rnacentral:rRNA from 1 species
GACGAACGCUGGCGGCGUGCCUAAUACAUGCAAGUCGAGCGAAGUUUUUCUGGUGCUUGCACCGGAAAAACUUAGCGGCGAACGGGUGAGUAACACGUAAAGAACCUGCCUCAUAGACUGGGACAACUAUUGGAAACGAUAGCUAGUACCGGAUAAUAGCAUUAACUGCAUGGUUGAUGUUUAAAAGUUGGUUUUGCUAACACUAUGAGAUGGCUUUGCGGUGCAUUAGCUAGUUGGUGGGGUAAAGGCCUACCAAGGCGACGAUGCAUAGCCGACCUGAGAGGGUGAUCGGCCACACUGGGACUGAGACACGGCCCAGACUCCUACGGGAGGCAGCAGUAGGGAAUCUUCCGCAAUGGGCGAAAGCCUGACGGAGCAACGCCGCGUGAGUGAAGAAGGAUUUCGGUUCGUAAAGCUCUGUUGUUAGGGAAGAAUGAUUGUGUAGUAACUAUACACAGUAGAGACGGUACCUAACCAGAAAGCCACGGCUAACUACGUG